rnacentral:rRNA from 1 species
UUGGAGGGCAAGUCUGGUGCCAGCAGCCGCGGUAAUUCCAGCUCCAAUAGCGUAUAUUAAAGUUGUUGCAGUUAAAAAGCUCGUAGUUGAAUUUCGGGAUCAAUAUAUCGGUCGUGCCUUUGGUACGUACUGGUAUCAUUGACUUCUCCUUUCUGACGAAUCAUGAUGUCAUUAAUUUGGUGUUAUGAGGAGUUAGGACUGUUACUUUGAAAAAAUUAGAGUGUUUAAAGCAGGCAUUAGCUUGAAUACAUUAGCAUGGAAUAAUGAAAUAGGACGUUUGACCCUAUUUUGUUGGUUUUUAGGAUCGACGUAAUGAUUAAUAGGGAUAGUUGGGGGCAUUAGUAUUCAAUUGUCAGAGGUGAAAUUCUUGGAUUUAUUGAAGACUAACUACUGCGAAAGCAUUUGCCAAGGAUGUUUUCAUUAAUCAAGAACGAAAGUUAGGGGAUCGAAGACGAUCAGAUACCGUCGUAGUCUUAACCAUAAACUAUGCCGACUAGGGAUCGGAUGAUGUUAAUUUUAUAAUGACUCAUUCGGCGCCUUACGGGAAAC